CUGGCGAGCCCGGCGGUCACGUGGGGCGGGCGCCGCCGCUGCUGCCAGGCGCCGCGGGUCCCGUGCGGUCGGCCCGCCGCUCCGCCGCCCCUCCCCCUUCUCCCCCCGCCGCAUGUCGCUGGCGGCGCGCCCCGCUCCCCGUCAGCCGCCCGCCGCCCGCCGCCGCCUCCACCGCCGCGACCGCUGCCGCCGCCCUUGAUGUGGUUCGGAGCCGGGCGGGGAGAAGAUGCCGCCGUCCAAGUCCCGCAAGAUCGCGAUCCUGGGCUACCGGAGCGUGGGAAAAUCUUCACUGACGAUCCAGUUUGUGGAAGGACAGUUUGUUGAUUCGUAUGAUCCAACCAUAGAGAACACUUUUACAAAACUGAUCACAGUAAAUGGCCAAGAAUAUCAUCUUCAGCUGGUUGACACUGCUGGCCAAGACGAAUACUCCAUAUUUCCUCAGACGUACUCCAUAGACAUCAAUGGCUACAUUCUUGUUUAUUCAGUCACGUCAAUAAAAAGUUUUGAAGUGAUAAAAGUUAUCCAUGGCAAGUUAUUGGAUAUGGUGGGAAAAGUCCAAAUACCCAUUAUGCUGGUUGGAAAUAAAAAAGACCUGCAUAUGGAACGGGUGAUCAGCUAUGAAGAAGGGAAAGCUUUAGCAGAGUCCUGGAAUGCAGCUUUCUUGGAAUCUUCUGCUAAAGAAAAUCAGGUAAGAUGAGAAAAUCAAGAAUACUGAAGUUACCCUCAUGGUGGGCUGUGCAAAGUCAGUGUUUAUGGCUGAAAAAUCUGCUGCCUCCUGUAAUUAACUUGGAAUCCUAAAGACUGCCGUUGAUGUUUUUAAGAGGAUAAUUUUGGAGGCGGAAAAAAUCGAUGGGGCAGCUUCACAAGGGAAGUCUUCAUGCUCAGUAAUGUAAUUCCACUGCAAAACCUGAAAACACUGGGAAUACAUUCUACCUGAAGAAGCAAAACUGCCCAUUAUCUUUAAGGAUAAACUAUGCUUCUUUUUUUUUUAUUUUUUUUUCUUCUGUUAACCUGAAAGAUAAACAAUUGGUUUGGAGCCUUUCCCUUCAGAUUAUGUUAAACUCUGACUCCUGUGCAAAUGGCUUCACUUCCAUUUUCAAAUUUUAAGCAAUCAUAUUUUCAAUUUAUAUAUUGUAUUUCUUAAUAUUAUGACCAAGAAUUUUACUGGCAUUAAUUUUUCAGUGUAGUUUGUUGGUUAGAAUAAUCAUCAAAAUGAUGCAUAUUGUUACACUACUAUUAACUAGGCUUGGAUAUCAGUGUUUCUUUGUGUUAAAUGUAUACUUGUAAAUAAAAUAGCUGCAAACCUUAAA